GUCCCAAGCCCGGAUGAGAAAAUGUGGAGGGGACUGCAGUUAGCUCCUCUGUAUCCUUUGCAUUAGAACUGUCAUGGUCUCCUAAUAUUUUACAUUGAGUAGCAGUGAAUAAAGUGAGUAGAAGUUGCACAGGCUGUCUAGUCGAAUCACGAAUCGUCACACAAUGUGGUGGCAAGUUCUGGAAUGCAUCCUUUGCUAUGAAAAAUCUGGUCAAGUGUAAUUUGUAGUCGGUCAGACUGUCCUCCAGGAACUUACUGAUUCCUAGCUGUACAAGGUCAGUGUUUUAAUUACGUAGGUCAUGGUAGUCAAGCAAAUAUGGCCAGCUUGUCCAAAUUAAAGAAGCCAGAAGCAUACCUAAGGCAGCCAUAUCUCAGUAGAAUGCUUAAUAAAGCACUUCUGAUUAUGAUAUUUUACUAAUUAAAUUUGCUUUCACAUUAAUUUGCACAUUACAAGGAUGCAACGAGACAUCCAUUUUCAUUCUGUAGAAGCCUUAAAUAGGAACACCACUAUCUGCAAUUCAUAAUCUGGGUUAAAUUAGAGUCUGUAGGUAAUGGAAGCCUGACCUGCAGUAUGCAAGCAAGUGGGGAUGGUUCAGAGUUCCAUGAUAACUCCAGUUUCAGUAAACUAGCAGGUAUGGUUUGCAUGACUGAUCCUGAUACUGAACUUGGAUGGGCGUGGCAAUCAUAGCAGUGAUUCAGGGGCAGGGACAUACGUACAUUAUCUGAUUUGCGCCCAUAAGAAAGUCAGAGAUGCAAAUAUGGUGGUUCAUUUUCGGAGUAGGAAUACAGGUCCUACAAAACUGAAGCUUCAACUGCUGAAAGCCUCAACAGGCGAAGGCUAUCCUACGGUCAGAUUUAUAUUGAGAGGAAGUCGGCAACCGGAAUUCUGGAUCUGAAAAGAGCUACACAGAGAUAGCUAUUCUCCGGAGCUUUAAAUGAUCUAAAAAUUAACAAAGAUUUAUUUUAGAAUUAAUAAAAAAAUACUAAAAGAAGAAUCACCAGGAGGGACCCCACCAGAAAACCACAAGCUCAGGUGGGGCGCGCCACCUAAGCUUGUGGACCCAACAGCAGGCCUUCGUGGCCCCCUUCUAUAUGAAGCCUUUUUCCCUAGAAAAAAAUUAGAAGAAUAUUUUCGGGACGAAGAGCUGCUGUCUCGAGGCGGAACCUAAACAUGAGCACUUUGCUCUCUGGCAGAGCGAUUUCGCCGGGGAUACUUCCCUCCGGGAAAGGAAAAUCGAAACUAUCGGCAUCAUCAAUGUUCCUCUCAUCGUGGGAGGACUCAUCUUCACCAGCACCAUCUCAUCUCAAACCCUAGUUCAUCUGUUGUAUUCAAUCUUUGUCUCCAAAUUUUAGAUUGGUACAUUUGGGUUGCUAGUAGUGUUGAUUACAUCUUGUAGUUGAUGCUAGUUGGUUUAUUUGGUGAAAAAUUAUAUAUUUAGAUCCUCAAUCAUAUAUUAUACUUCUCUGAUCUUGAACAUGAAUAUGAUUUGUGAGUA